rnacentral:pre_miRNA from 1 species
UGUUAAAAUUUCAACCAUUUUUGCUGUUAAAAACUAACGUGACUGACAUAAUAAAGAUGUAUAACUCGUUCAGACGUGCAUGGACCAGUUUAUAACAGUAAAAAUUAAUGGAAUUUUUAAUA